AACAUAACCGCAAAAACCCCUCACCUCUUAUUUGCUAUUACCAGAACAAAGAAAAUAAAAAGCCCCCAGGUAAACCAAUUUCAUGUGGGGAAUUUAUGUUGCGUACCUUGCAAAUAAUGGCCAAGCGUUUGGUCUCUUCCUUGAUCCGACCCAGGUGGGAGAGGAUGCAGUCGCAGACCUCCAUCUUCUUCCUCUCUAUCUCCUCCUCCUUGACCUUGAAACUGGACAGAGCAGCCCUCAACAUCCCCUCGUCCUCCCUCGACAGUGACAUGUAAAAGGACCGUCUUCUUCUUCGCUAUGAUAUUCUUCUUCUUCACUCUGAUAUCCGUCUUCUUCGCUCUGAUAUUCUUCUUCUUCUUCAAGAUCUUCAAGCGAUGGAAACCUGGGGAACCUCUGAAAAGCCAAGUGUAUAAACUUCAGUACAGUCCCAACUGAUAAACCAAGUACAUUCCACCAUCUUCACCGUCAGGAGGAAUACUAAUAAACCGAGUAUUUAAACUUCAGUACAGUCCGCACCGAAUGCAACCAAACCAAGUGUUCAAACUUCAGGCAUAUGGCUAGUCUACCGAUGGGAAUUUGGUGCCGUACCAGUAAAAGCUUCAGCACCUCAGAUCAGAUUGUUCUUGAAAAUCGGCACUCCAAAAAUAGAUAACACUUCGGAUCAUCAAAUUAUGCAGGCCAGUUCAAGCUCUAACUUGAAAAUAUCCCAAAUACAUUAUUAAAGAAACCUUAUAUUCAUUGGAUAUUCUGGAUUCUGGAGAUUCUAGGUGAAUAAAUAGCACUUUAAGUAACGAUGACACCUUUAUUUUGACACCCCCGUCCAAAAGAUGGAUUCAUAACAAUUUGAAACUGACUUUGCAGAAAAUUUCAGGGGGAUGGCAUGCAUGAUAAUCAAGCCAAAUCCCCAAUUCUUUUAAGCAUGUUUCCAAAGCAGAGAACCACAAAAUUGAGCAUUAAAUAUAGUUGCUACCGCCUUAAUUAACCCAAACAAAAUCAUGCAAAGAAUCUGUGUCCUUUUCUAUUUUGUUUUGGAUGAUCCUAUCUCUUCUUUUGCUGAGACUAGUAAGAUCCCAAGAACUUCCCGUGUUUGUGCAUAUACUCAUUGACAUCACUCCCAAACUUCCGACCUAUUCAAUCCACAAGAGAAAACACCUCAUAUGAGUUCACGUACCUCCAUCGGAUGAAAGCAAAAUACAAGAAAAGGGGAUUAAGCAUGAUAUAGUGGCUUUUAAAACCUUUGUUCAAGCUGUUAGGCUAGGACGAAGAGGACUGGACAUCGCCGUCAGCCUCAUAGAGCUCUUGCGCGAGGACUCGACGUCGUCGUGCUCGAACAAAGAGGAAAUUUGGGGACUUGACGAAGAAGAAGGACACUCAGACGAAGAAUAGGAGGAUCGAUGAACAAGAAGCAGACUCCACAAACAAGAAGUACACCAUGGAGGCAUGGACAAGAAAGACCGAUGAAGAGGUGAGGAGAACUUGAGAAGAAAACUCCACCAAUUAGGAGAAGUGAAGAAAACUGGAGAAGAAAACUCAGUUAGGGCUUGGAAAUUUGGAGCAAACCUUAAACGGAGACAUUUUUGCACACAAACCUUUUCUUUUAAGCUCUACACCGAGUACGAGAGUGAAAUGAAAAAAAAAAUGCACCGAAUGCAAUAAAUCAAGUAUUUAAACUUCAGUACAAUCCCCACCAAAUGCAACCAAACCAAGUGUUCAAACUUCAGGCAUAUGGCUAAUCUACCAAUGGGAAUUUAUCUCAUAUAAAGCCAGGCGUUCCUCCCUCUUUCCCCAUACACUCUCUUCCUCCUGCAAAAAUGGGAGACAUUAACAAACCCUGGGCAUCGAAUAUCACCAUUUUUGUGGCCUCACCAGAGGAAUGACACCUAAUUACCACAUGUUGGCCCUACUCAAAUUCGAUUCAACAAAGAACUGACCAGACCAAUUUUAAGACUCAAAAACAAACACAUUUUAUCCAGGUUCUUGUUUCAUUGCCUAAAGGGCUCCAAGCAACAAAUUUGGCAACAUGAAAGUAGAAAAAUGAAUACCAUCUUCCCUAAGUCACCAUCUAAUGCUGAUGAUUGUAAUGCUGAAAACAUGCUUUUUCUACCUAUACCACAUAUGGUGCUGUACCAGCAACAGCUUCAGCACCUCAGACUAGAUUGUCCUUGAAAAUUGGCACUCCAAAAAUAGAUAGCACUUUGGAUUGUCAAAUUAUGUAGGCCAGUUCAAGCUCUAAAUUGAAAAUAUCCCAAAUACAACAUUAAAGAAACCGUACAUUCAUUGGAUAUUCUGGAGAUUCUAAUUGAACAAAUAGCACUUUAAGUAAAGAUGACACCUUUAUUUUGACUCCCCAGUCCAAAAGAUGGAUUCAUAAUAAUUUGAAAUUGACUUUUCAGAAAAUUUCGUAGGGACGGCAUGCAUGAUAAUCAAGCCAAAUCCCCAAUUUUUUAGCAUGUUUCCAAAGCAGAGAACAGCAAAAUUGAGCAUUCAAUAUAGUUGCUCCCACCUUCAUUAACCCAAACAAAAUCACGCGAACAAUCUGUGUCCUUUUUCUGUUUUUUUUUGGACGAUCCUAUCUCUUAUUUUGCUAAGACUAGUAAGAUUGCAAGAACUUCCUGUGUCUGUGCAUAUACUCAUUGACAUCACUCCCAAACUUCAGACCUAUUCAAUACACACGAGAAAACACCUCAAAUGAGUUCCUAUACCUCCUUCGGAAUGAAAGCGAAGUACAAGAAAGGAGAUGAAGCUCGAUGUAGUGGCUUCUAACACCUUCGUUCACGCCGUCUGGCUCGAAUGAAGAGGACCCAAUGUUGCCGUCGGCCUCAUCAAGCUCUUGCAUGAGGACUCGACAUCAUUGCACUCGAUUGAAGAGGAAAUAUGGGGAUUUGACGAAGAAGAAAAAGGACACUUAGACGAAGAACAUGAGGAUCGACAAAUAAGAAGCCGACUCUGCGAACAAGAAGUACCCUAUGGAUGAGAAAGACAGAUGAAGAAGUGAGGAGAACUUGGGAAGAAAACUCAAUCAAGGCUUGGAAAUUUGGGGCAAACCUUCAAAGGACAGACGUUUUUGCACACAAACCUUUGCUUUUAAGCUUUAUGCCACAGAGAAAUGAAUAAAAAAUUGUAUAGAUAGCAUUUUCCAUUCGUCAAAUUAGAUGGAAUUAAUAGAGGGACUCAAUCGUACUAAAUUAACAAGUUUUAUGACUCGAUUGCAGUUUUUAUAAGUUUCAAGACUAUUGCAUUUAUCCCUUUAAUGUUUUAUCUUCACCAUAAAUAUCACAAAUCAUGAAAGUCAUUCUCAUAAUGAUUGGUAUUAAGCAAGAAAUGGAAAAAUAAAAUAGUAAGUGCAGUAUAUUAUAUAGAAAAAAUGCUAAGUAAAACCAUUUGUUUCUUAUAAAAUGAGAAAACAUUUUAAAUAAUAGGCUCUAAGCUAUUAUAUAUAUAUAUGCCCUACAAUACGAAGUUUUUCCCAAUAUUUGUGAUAAAAACUGAACUUCUCUUACUGCAACAUGCGUCUAUUGGUGCUUAAAGUAAGCGAGACCGAGUUUAAUUCAUGUUUGUAUGAUUAUUUUUUCAUUUUCCACAAUUAUUAUAAAUCUGCCUAUAGUUGAAUUCGUGUUUGUGGAUGGUUGUUCUUACUAACCUUAUGACGCUUGAAACCCUGGACAGUGCCUUCGUAAUGUCCUCUAACCCCAACUAAUUUCUCGCACCAGUUGAUGUAUAAGCGGCAAUCAUUUGGCAAUUCAGUGGUCCAUACAUCAAUCCGUAGCUCAGGGCAAGAAUGUAUUCUCAAGGACUUGAGGUUCUUUAAGUUUGACAAACCACCAAGACUUUGCAAAUGAUCACCAGAUAGCACCAACUCUUCCAACGAUUCCGAUGUACCAACAACUUGAAUUCCGAGUGUCUUCUGGUUAUUCUGUAGGUUGAGAUCCCGCAACUUAUUGAAGACUCUUGAUUCAAGGAUCAGUGAAGAUUCAUGAGAAGAUUUCCCAUGUAUCUCAACGUACAUGAACCUUCCGAAGGAUUUGCACUCAUUGAUACGCAAAACCUCCAACGAUUCCAACACCCCAGCGAUGUGGAUCUCAUCUAGUUUUGGGCACUCCCAUAUGGCGAACUUUUUCAGCAUCUUCAUGCCAGAUAGAAUGAAUCUCUGGAGGGGUCCACCAUCAUCAUAAACCCAAAGUUUCCUUAAAUUUGGAAGCUGAAGCCCAUCGAGUAUAAUCUCUUCCACUUGAGGGUGCCAUAGCUCUAAAUCUGACAAAUUCUUUACGUUGGAGGAGAGUAACGCGAUUGAAUUGAAUUUCUUAAGGUUUAGCUUUAAUAGAGAAGAGGGAACUUGUGUGAAGGGUUGCAAGUUCACUCCACACAAAUGGAGUUGGCUAAGCCGACGAAGGGAAGUCAACUCUAUGGGAGAAGGGACAUGGAGGUGACACAAUCUCAACUGUUCCAGUUUGGAUAACUUCCCGAUCCACCUAGAAUCACCGGUAUGAAUUAUAUCUUGUUUGCCAUAUUCAAAGCCGCCAUGCAGGUCCAACUCAACCAAAUUAGUCAAGUUUGAGAGGUCUGGGACAACUUGCAAUGACAUACAGAACACUUCCAGAUGUGUUAAACUUAUUGGGAGUGCCGGCAACUCUCUGAUUCCAUAUAAACCUCUUAACACCAGUCUUUGCAGCGGUGGAAGUAAGGAAAUUUCAAAAGUAAGUUGACCUUUCAAAUUGGCAUUAGGCCGACGUACUAAAUCUUCCAAAAUUGAUUCUAGACUUAACCCCGGUAAUGAUUUACACUUAAAGUUUUCACAACACCCCUUUAAAAUGACGCGCUCUAGAUUCUGUAGUUCCCCGAUUUCUACAAGCAAAUCAAUCAGAUUGCACCCAUCAACCGUUAACUCUAUCAAAUGCUUUAACUUCCCAAUAGAGCUGUCAAUCGUCCUUAAACCAACGCAAUCCCUAAAAGUAAGCCGCUCUAAAGUUGAGCAUCCCGAUAAGUCUCCUGUUGUGGUUAUGUUAUGACACCACUUAAGUUCAAGAACUUUCAAUUUUCUUGUCUCCUGUAAAAAAAAAAAGUGAAUGCAUUAUCCAAUGGAGGAACAGUUCAAAUGUUGCUUUCAAGGACAAAAUAGAAAUAAGCAUAUGACGCACCUUUAUUAGGCUCCAUAAUUCCGUAUCGUCUAAACCGGCAAUGCUUGAAAAUUGAAGGACAACUACAUUCUUUAAGCACAUAUUGGUCAGCUCACACUUUAAAUCAAAAGCACUCCAGCCAAACCAUGUUAAUUUGGGAAAACAAUCCAUUAGAUCGCCAACGAAGGUUCCUCUCUCAAGUUUAAGGAACCUUAGCUUUUCAAACCUUCCAAUCUCUUCACUUUUGAUAUGUACUUUUGGAAGAAACGGUUCGAGUACCAUUGCUUGAACGUUCUUCAUCUGCAAAUGAGAGCAAGAAACGAGUAGCAUUCAGCAUUCUAUUUUAUCAAGGAAAAGUAUAAAAACCAAGAAGAAAAAAGAGAAUCCAUCAGUUAUCGCAAUAAGUUUUCCACCUUCUUUGUCUUUAUUGUAUCGAAGACUUCAUCCUUAAUCCAUAACCUACUACGUUCUUCAGGAUUCAUCGGAUUUUCGUUAUUAACAAUUCCCCUUCCGAGAUCUCUUAGCUGAUCGUGCAUCAAAAACUCAUUGCCUUUUCCAAUCUUUAUCAAGCACAUCCUUUUGAGGACCUCAAUUCCUCUAAUCGGGUAAAGUCCACAAUCAUCCCACAUAUAAAUUGCAUUUGUCUUUUUCUCGCCAAUGAAAAAGCAUGCAAUAUCCAGAAAAAUUUGCUGUUCCUGAAAAGUCAAUGCAUCAUAGCUAAUCUUCAACUUAUUGUAAACAUCCUCCAGAAGUGUUUUGCUUAACUUGUCCAAUGUUUCUUUCCAUGCUUCUUUUCUUUCAUUGCGCAACAUUGAACCAAUUACUUCGAUAGUCAAAGGAAGUCUUCCGGUAGUAGAUAAAAUUUUCUUUGAAAUACCAAAGUCAUCAUCUGGAGGAGAGUCGCUAUUAAAUGCAUGCCUACUGAAGAGCUGAAAAGCAUGAUCACUACUCAUCACCUUCAUUUCAUAUUUUACAAUUUCGUACUUUGGUCUAGUGAUUUGCAAAACAUUCUCAUUUCUAGUAGUAAUCAGUACUCUAGAACCUAAAAACAAAGCACCUUUUCCAACUAAUUUCUCCACUUGUUCGCUUUUAUCAACAUCAUCCAGUACAAUUAAGACCUUCUUACGGCGAAGUGUUUCUUCGAUCCUCUUCAUUCCAUUGUCAGUUGCAUCAAUGCUUCCUGUUCCUGCGGCAUUUCCUAUUUCAGAUAGUAACUUCUUUUGCAAUCCAACCAAGCCAUCCGUUCUUGACGACUUUUCUCGAACAUCUUCAAGAAAGCAGCAACACUUUCCAAAGUGGGUAGAAAGUUCAUUGAACACGACCUUGGUAAGAGUUGUUUUACCAAUACCCCCCAUGCCAUGAAUUUGAAUGAGCCGUUUACCUCCAGAGCCUACAUCUAACAAAUUUUUUACUGCUACCACUUGAUCAUCGAUUCCGAUUAAAUGUUCAGUCAUAGACUUUUGCUUUGUCUUCAACUUCUUCACAACCUCUUCAACGACCAACUUAAUGAGUUCCCCUUGGCUGUCAUGAAGGAAAACCAUUUCAAUAGGGGAAAAUUGCAGGGAAUAAAAAAAAAAAAAUCUAAAUUUCAUUCGUGAUACAAUUCCAUCAUACUUCAAUGAAAUCUCCUUUUUAUUUUGUUCGUUUCCUAGCAGUUGAUGUUAUUCAAUUGCAUUUGCUUAAUUGCGCAAUAAUUCAAUAACUAAUGGGACAUCAACAAUCAAAUCGUUUCUUCUCAAAUUUUGUACUAAAUGUAAGGUUUUCUUAGUUAUCGCUUUUGAUAACUUAACAUUUGUAAUUUGAUGUGUUGUGCAAACCUUAUGUGUACUUGAUCUUGUGAAAUUCCAAAAUAACACCAAGCAUGCAUAAAACAAACAUUUUGAUGAGAAUGAUGGAAUUGACCCUGAAGGAUUUCAGAUUUGAUUUUUCUAGCUAAUUCUAUGUAACCAUAAAAAAUAUGAAUCUACAUCACUUUCAAAGGCACUUUUCAUUCACAUUGCUAGGUGCCACGAGUUGCAUUGUGUCAUGACGAAAAUUGAUGAUCCCAACAUGUGAUUAGCAAUCCUCAAAUUAUGUUAAUCUUCUUUGUGCAAGAUGAAUUUACAACUAUUUAUGCAUCGCAAUUAGCAUUUUAUCAGUUAUAUUCAUGUGACAACCUUAGAAGUGGGACAUUAUAUGUUCAGGAGGAGAAAUGUCUGAUGUAUUAAUUGAAAGAUCAAAUUAUUAGAUAAGAACGUGCAUGGUAUUCAUUUAUUCCACUUUGUCACCCAUAGUUUCACAUUUUAUUUUACACGCAUACUAUUUAGUAUUACUAGUGGAAGUCCCACCUCAAAUGUUGUGAUAUAUCUAUAUUACUAAGUUUCGAAUAGUAGUUCUAGAAGCAUUAGAAUUUUACUAAGAGUUGCUUACUAAAUGACAAAGGUGAAAAAGGAAACAAAAUUCAUAUAGACCAUCAAAGAAAUGAAAAAAUGAGCGUUCGUUUCUAUUUUUAUUUCUUCAUUAAAAAUAGACAUAUGAUAGCGCUUCUAGUGAAAUCAAGAACACUAACAAUAGUAGCUCUGGCAUGAUUCUUAUGUUUUUGGAUUCUCUCCUCCUACAUUUAGUAUGUUCCUUCUUUCUAUGAAUUAUUUACUUAGUUUUUGCAACCAAGAAAAAGAAAUUAGGGAAAAUAAGGAUCUUAGAAUGCAGCAAGCUCACCCUUUGUAUUUCUUGACUUCCCACCCCUUUAUUGCAUCAACCUCCUUCAAAGCCUCUCUCCAGGAAUCUACUUGUUCAGUGCUCAACUUCUUCUCACGCUCCAAGUUGAGUAUGGCAUUGCGAUACAAUGGAGUUUUCAGCUUAACAUCGUUGGGUUCCACGUCAAAGAAAAUAGGCAGGAUCUCUUUAUGCCCACUGGACUUGGAAGCGUUCUCCACAAUCUGCGCGAGCUCGCGCAGACACCAUUGGCUCGAAGCGUAAGUUCGAGAGAAGAUGGGGAUGUAGAUCCCAGAGUUGUCGAUUGCUCUCGGGAGCGCUCCAUCAAUUCUUUCACCAAUAGAGAGCUCUUCAUCGUCUCGAAAGACACAAAUGCCAGCAUCGGUCAAGCUAUGGUAGAGGAAGUCGGUAAAUCCAUCACGAGUGUCAGGUCCUCUGAAGCUCAGAAACACUUGAUACUCGCUUCCUGACGAUGUUCCUGCCUCUGAGCUCCCCAUUUUAAACUUUAGCUUUAGCAGCUCUCUCCCUCCCUCCCUCGUGGGUGAACAAGAUAGGCCUUCAACCUUGGCUGAUUGAAGGUCUCAACCACAAACAUAUCGCGUAAAUAUAUCAUGAGUGAGAUUCCCAAUGAUUAGAGAAAAGCAUCAAAUCGCAGACUAAAAUACAAAUUCAGUCACAGAAUAACAAAAAAGAAGCAAGUAUGUAAAUGACCGCAUUAUAUUCAAACUCCCAAUGAUCCAUAUCAUUCGUAAGUCAAAUUUUUGGAAAGGUCGAGAUUAGCCUGCAAUAUUCUCAUAAGUCCACUCGUCUAUUCUUGUUAAGAAGCUGAUCGGGGAGACUUUGGUCCAAUCACACGGGAAGGAACGCCAAAAAAUACAAAUGGGUAUUUCAGUCAUUCUGAGCAAAGGAUUUCAUCAAACCGAACACUUCAGGGAAAAUCCAGAAUAAGUCAGAAGAGAAUCGAACCGUGUUCGUGGUCACUGCUGCCGGGAAAGGGCUUCGGGAAGAUGAAUAUCGAUAGCUGCUGGUACUGGCUAGUCGACUCGCUGGAGGGGCUCGUUGCCGGAGUCGCUCGGGACGAUCCGGGUACGUCGAUCGCUGGGUUUGCGAAGAAAGUCGUGGCCUCCUCUGCUCUGCACACGGAAAAACUAGCCGUCAAAGAAGCGUCUGUCGCUGGUUGGCGAGGAAAGGGAGCUCGAAGAUUUUUAAGUCUUCCUGGUGAUCUGGGCGUGACUUCAAGCUGAUAUAUACGGUGAAUAUCAGAUUCGUCUCUAAGCCCAUGGGCCCUCCGGUGUUUAUUUUACGGAUUAAAAGGAUUUUCAAUUUGUAGUGAUUAUAUUUUAGGGUGAAAGCCUCAAAAAAUCCUAAAUUAUACUCACUGUCAUAUGUUUACUCUAAUUUUUGUUGUGAUAGAUUUAUCGCAAACUUGUAUAAUGUGAUAUAUUUACCCAAAAUGCCAAACAACCUCGCAUGUACAUUUUUUAUGGAAGCAAAGCAAUAGUCAAAAAAAAAAAAAAGUUGAAGGGAGGCAUAAAGUUUCUAAAAAAUGCCAAACAACUUCAUAGAAAUUGGGUCGGAAGGUGCCUUCGCUUUUCCUAAAAUAAAUAAAUAAAAUUAAAAACCAACCUGCCUUCUGGGUCAAGCACAUAAAAUUCUCUAUCGAGGCUUGUCCCAUUAUUAUAUGUUACUUUAGUUUAAUGGGAAAUUAUUGUAUAGGUGAUGGAUGUUUAAUUGAGGAACGUUUAUUUAAGGCGUUGUUGUUUUGGACCAUCAUGAAUGUCCUCUAUCUUCUCUAGAAUCUUUAUUAAUUGUAAUGGUCUGACAUGCCGACUUUUGUUUUUUGUUUUUUUUGGGUCAACAACCUGCCGACUCAUUUAACAAUAACUUUUCUUUUAUUUUAAGUUCACGCGUAGCAUGACAAAGUGGACUAUACAUGUAUGAUUAUAUAUAUUACUAUUUUUUCUUCCCGUGUUUUGAUGUUAACUACUUAACGAAUACCAAAGAUUAUUUUUAAAUGAAGUGCCCCAAACUUUUCAACAAAUUCAAUUUUUUAGGCUCUUGGAAGAACAUGAAGGCAAAAAUGCUGCCAUUAAAAUAAAUUUUUAAUUUUUUUCUUUUUCGGCUUGAUUAGAUAUCUGCAAACCCACCCGUCCAAGGUUGCAUUUUCUAGAAAUGAAUCAAGGUCCCACCUUCUUAGAAUCAUAUAUAACGUUCUAUAGACGACUCUAUAGUUAAAUAACCUCAUAAGCAGCAAUUGUUGACCUUAUAUUUGGCAAAUGUUCACAGAGAACAUCAUGGUGAUAGAGGGAAGUAAAAUAAGAAAUUAGACAUAUAUUAUAUAUAUUACCCUACUUGACAAGAGCACAUGAAGUCACACAAACACCGCAUUUUUUUUUUUUUGUGGUAGAAUUAGUUUGUAAGAUAGUUUGAUAUAAGUUGAAGAUAUUGUUUUACAAUAAAAAUUAUUUAUACACAUGAUUAGUUGAGCCAGAUAGACCACGAGUUGCAAUCUAGUUCACACCCAAUAAUGAGCUGAAAAUCCUCUUAAUAUUGAUGGGCACACUAUAAUGGUCAUGUUAGUGCAAGAAUCUUUCUGAGAAAAAUAAGAGAUAUUUUUUUCUGGUCUAGGCUAGGGAAGAAACAAAGUUUGAAUGCCUCAUUGAACUUUGAUUAUAUAUUGUGGAGUUUAUCUCUAUACGUGCUUCAAGCAUGUUCUGCCUUUACACGUGUUGUGGAUUGCUAUUCUCAUGUUGUGGUUUUAAAGGGAAUAUUGGGGAUAGACUUGUAACAUGAGUUUGGUCUCAAGAUCAGUUCAGUGGAGCUUGAAAGUGGAAUGCAAAUGUAGCAUGGUUGCUAUGACUAAAUCAUGUUUUGGGUUUACUUUUCUUGCAUUACUCCUCGUCCUCUUUGUUCACUUUGAAGUAUACCCGUGAUUGCUCUUAUUAGUCAUUGAUGGGCAUUGCUCUUUCUUUCCAUGUGUCCUGAUGGUCACUAUUAAGCUCUGUUUUCCUUGUCUGAUUUACAGUAUCUUUUAUAUUAAUGAUAAGUUGAAAUGUUGCCCGUACUGGCACUUGAGAGUAGUUAAGGGACGGUGGAAUGCUUGGAAAUGGUCUUUGUAGAUGUAUGGGUUUUUUAGAUUACCUAAUAACAUUUGCUGAUUACCUUACACUAUAAUUUUGGCCAUCGAUGCACUUCUAUUUUCAUAAUCGAACUUCUCAAGUUUUACUGGGCUGUUGCAACGAUGGUGACUCGUGAACUCUGCCUUUGGGUUUACAGUCAUUCAUUAUUUGUUCUAUUGUUCAUUAGAUGCUUUGGCCACACAGCACUAAGUUUGUGUCAAUGAAUUUCACGACUAAUGUGUUUUGCAAUGAAGUGAAUGGAGCUCCUCUAUUCACGUCUCUGCAUUUUUUUUCGAGUGAUGGAAGAUGUGGCUGAUCGCGUUUGCUCAUUCUGUUUUAUGAUAUAAGCUUUUAGUGCAAUCACCUAACAUCUUCUCUAUGUUUUGCUAUGCUUUACAGAUUAAUUAUGAGCCCUAUGUUCAUUAAUUUUCUCACUUUUGUGAUCUAAGCUUCCUCUAAAUCCUUCUCUAGUCCAGAUUAUUGAACAUUUAAUUGGGCAAUGCUCAAGUCAUCACUAAUAUGAAGUCUUGUGCUGGUUUCCGCCCAUUAUGCUUAGUCCUCUUUGCUGCACUCAUUAUAUUUUUAGGAGGAUGGUCAUCAUAACACACAAUUGAGAUCUCCAAACAUCAUUUUGCGCUCUUCAUCAUCAAGUGUUAUCUCUAGAGGUACAGUGAUCAUUGUCAAGCCCAUAUUCUAACUAUUUGUGUUUUUCACAAAUGUCUUAGGUCCAGCAAAAAAAGAACAAAACAACUACUUGUGCCCGUUGUUGAAGAAAGCUCAUUAAAGAAUUACUAUAAUUCCAGCAUCUUCAAGAUACGAGGCUAGAAAAGAUUUUAUGGCGAUGACAGGACCUCUUUCAUGUGCAGUGGAACCUUCUUAUGCUAGCGAUCUGUAGCUGUAUGUCUGAGCCGCAGCUAAAAUUGCUUAUGCGAUAAAAGAAAACACAGCGACAUAGUGCUUUUGUUGCAGUGGUUCUCUCUCGGACAUAGGGCAUCUCUCUCUCCCUCUCUGAACAUACCUAGUUCAAUUAUCCCUUUUUUGCAUUGGUAUUGUAUAUACAACAAUCUAGAGUGUCUAAUAAAUUAAGGACCCCGGUGAAAAAUUGACCAUCGUCCUUCAGUACAUCUAGACAAUUUCUUCGGAUCGAGGAAAAAAGGUGAAAGUCCAUCCGGGAGAAGUAUUUGCCAUUUUGUUGUGAUUUGUGCUACGUGAUCAAAUGGGUGGUUCGGGGCUUUUAUAAUCUUUAUAAGAUUAUGAAUCAAUUUGAUUCAUUUAAGUUUUCUUUGCAGCCUUUGCCAUCACUAUAAGGUAAAAGAAAAUUUUUCAAAAGGCGUGGCUGUCGUGUGAGGGCUUAAUUUCUCGGAGUCAUGAAAAGUUGAGCUUCAUAACUUCUGAGCACGUCGUCUUCUUCUUUUGAUUUCGAAUUUGUUGGUUUUCCAAAUCUUGCUACUCUGUUGACUUAAUCUCUAGUGAAGGCGAAGGACUAUACAACCAAUCAUAUGUGAUGUUCUCACGAAAUCUGAGAAACUUUUCUUUUUGAUUUAUAAAACAUUAAAGGGGAAACAAUGAGUGAAACAAAAGUUGAAAUAAGGGUCCGAAAAGCCAGAUGAGACAACACCCUAAAUGUUGUGAGAUUUUUGUCAAAAUCCUUCGAAAAUUCACAGUAUGCAUUUUCAUAUGAAAUCACUAAACGUAAAUAACUGAAAUUUCUUAAUUUCUCUGAAGUUGAAUUUUACAUGUCUAAAUUGAAGGACAUACUUCCAUUUUGAAGGGCGUGAGAGAGAGAGAAUACAUCCAUUCUGAAGGGUGUUAGCUAUUAUCUUGAAGAUAUAUGAUGUGUCCACCAUGGUAUAUCAAUAGAGUUCCACCAUCAAAAAUUGGUUGGGUACCAAGGAUGAAGUAGUUAUACCAUAACCUCCUUCAACUUCUUCGAUAUGAACUUCUUGGGAAUCCUCCGUAAGCAUGCAAAAUCAAGAUAGAGAAAGAAGCUUACGAUCUUUCCCCUUCAAAUGUUAUCAACCCAGCGUAUUUAAAAGAAUAGGACAUUGGAUCAGAGAAAACCGCUCUCUCAUCUUUUAUUUAAGGAAACUGUCAAGCAUGAGCAUCUCUUCGCCUGUCAUGUCCAAGUUCCCUAACAUCGGAAAAGCAAUUCAUGGACACAGCCAGCUUUUAGUGCAUUCACAAUACGGAUGCAUUCAUUUUAUUUUAUUUUUUUUUUUUUUGGUAAAGGUAAGAGAUAUAUAUUGACUUAAGCCAAAGCAACAAGAACGCUAUACAACAAAAACUCCGCACCAAGAACUUACCCUCACAAGGACAACAGUCAUAGUGAGUGGAAGGGUGCCAAGGUAAAAGAAAACUAGCUGCACAGGAGCAGAGGAAAGCCAAACAGUGGCAAAGCAAAAAAACCUACAUGGGGAUCACAAAAAAAUACCGACUCCCAACAACUAUACAAGUGCAGGGAGAUGAAUACAAAUGUAGGAAUGGUAGGACAACUCGCCAACUGCACUAGAGAAGCUUCCAAAAAUUCAAAUCGGCACCUUCUUCAGCUGCACGAACUGAGAAGGACCUCCGACAAGAACAUGAAAUGAGAGAACCCCCUACUCGAAAAGGUCUACUAACCAAUCAGUGGAUCAUUCCACCAAAAAGAAGGGUUUACUAACUAGCAAUGCAACAAUCUACGAUUUGUGGUGCUAGGAGGAAUCAGGUGAAAAGACAAAGCCUUGUCCCUGACAAUCUUCUCCAAUCGUAUCUUCAUGGUAGAAAGGGAGGGCAAUCUACCCUCAAAGAGAAUAUUAUUCCGUUCAUUCCAAAUGAUGUUGCAUAAAGCAGCAAAAGUGAACUGAGCAAGGGUGGAAUGAAAGGAAGUUUUGGAUAAAUACUUGAUCGCCCAUUGCAAGUUAUCCAUCCAAGAUUUGUUCGUCCAAGCAAAAUUAAAUCUAGAAACCUAGAAAGUGACAAGUGCGGACAGAAUGGAACAACCAAAAAAGAGAUGGUUGAUCGAGUUCAGACGACAAGAACAAAAGCCACAAUUCACAAAUGGGAUUCUGCCAUAAGAAAGAAGCAUCACCUGAGUUGGCAGCCUAUUCCUAGUGAUCAACCACAGCAGGAAUUGAUAGCGGGGGACCAGUGCUUUGUUCCAAAUAAAAGGAGCCCAAUCCAAAGUCUGCCCUCUUGGCCGAAUAGCUUCCCAAGCAGAAGUAGUAGAAAAGGUACCAGAUGGGUUUCCCAACCAUAUGAAACGAUCAGUUUCAUUUUUAAGCUAAGGGAAAAGGUCAUCCCAGGCGGUAAUCUCAUUCAAAACACCCGAAGUUCAAUCUAGAAAUGACAUAAAGUCAGCCAUAUAAGCUCCCUUGGGGAGCCGAGAAUAGUAGAUGUUAGUAUUGGAGAACAACAAAUUAAGCGGCCCUUUGGGAUGCCAAUUAUCGAACCAGAAAGAGAUGGAGGUGCCAUCCCCCACUUGCCAGCAAAAAGAUCUACGGAAUUCGCCUCUAAGGUCAAGGAUCUUCUUCCAUGACCAUGAGCAGAACGUGGGCUUUGAGGCCAACCAAAAAUUGACAUUUUUUAAGAAUACAGAGUGAACCCACCUGCACCAAAGAGAUUCUUUAUCUAUAAAUAAUAACCAUAAGUGCUUGAGCAUUGCUAUGGUGUUGCUUUCCCGAAGUCUCCUGAUUCCUAAGCUUCCUUUAGCUUUUGAAAGGCAAACAACAGUCCACGCAACCUUUGCACCACCUGCACCGAGGUCUGGGCCCUUCCAUAGGAAUUGUCUCGAGAUCUGCUCAAUUUUGUCCAAUAUCGAUAUUGGUAGAAUGAAAAUAAUUGCCCAAUAGACCUAAAUAGAUUGUAGCACUGACCUAAUUAAUUGUAUGCGUCUCGCAAAUGAUAGGAACCACUGUGUCCAAGUUUGCACUCUCGAAGUGAUGAUAUUGACUAGAGUAAUACAGUCAUCUUUCUGAAGUCUAGAAGAAAUAACCGGAGUCCCUAGAUAACGAAAAGGCAAGGAUCCUUCUGGGAAUCCCAAAAGUGAAGUGUAGGCACUUUGGGAAUCGGGGGAGACCCCUAAAAAAUACAUCUCGCUCUUGUGCAAGAUCGGGUCAAGGCCUGACCACCAAGAGAAUGUAUCGAUGGUUGCCUUAAAUAAUGUGAGACUCGGCAUAUUCGCCUCCACAAAAAGUAGGAUAUCGUCAGCAAAGAAUAAGUGGGAGAGCCUAGUCGACUUACAUCUCCAGAAAUAUUGGAACAAGGGGUGGCUGGUUUGCAUAUUCAGAAUGCCUGUAAACACCUCCAUUACAAAUGUAAAAAGAUAGGGUGACAUGGGAUCUCCUUGUCUAAUACCCCUACUGCUCGGAAAAAAAUCAUGGAGUUCAUCAUUCAGGGCCACAAAGAUGUGUGGCGAACGAACACAACUCAUAAUAAGUUUAGAGAAGUGAGAGGGGAACUGGAAAGCUUGAAGUGUUACCUCAAGAAAAUCCCAGUUAAGAGUGUCAUAGGCCUUUCAAAAAUCAACCUUUAUGGCACACUUGGGCUUAUACAGCACAUGGUGGAACCUAGCAAGGAGCUCUUGGGCUAGAAGGAUGUUGUUGUUGAUAUGCCUCCCCUUAACAAAGGCAUUUUGAGCAUGGCUAAUAACAUCAGGCAUGACAGCAACCAUUCGGUUGGCCAUAAUCUUCAUAAUACACUUAUAAACCGUGUUACAACAAGCAAUAGAUCUAAAAUCAUUAAUCGUAGUUGCAUUAGGGCACUUUGGCACAAGUGUAAGGAUUGUGUUAUUAGAUUCCUUAAGGAGCUUCCCUAUAGAAAAGAAAUCCAAAACCGUCGUAGUAACUGAUGGACCUAUUGUGCCCCAACAAUGCCAAAAGAAUUCCAUGCUAAAGCCAUAAGGGCCAAGUGCUUUACUAGUUGCUAAGGAGAAAAUGGAAUCUCGAAUCUCGAAUCUCCACUUCCGACACAGGUUUAGAUAGAAGCAGAAUCUGGCUGUCAUCUAGAGUCCGAGUGAUUAUGGACCGAACAUCGUGGAUAGACAGCAAGGUAUUGUGCUCAGCAGAAGCUAGAAGAUCACGAAAAUGAGCAACAACCAUCUGCUGAAUUAAGGGAGGGUCCUGAACCAUAUUCCCAACAUCAUCUCGAAGCGAGAGAAUUCGAUUAAGGAGGUGCCUCUUGUUCAGCGAAUGGUGAAAAAUUUUGGUACUGAGGUCACCUUCUUCAAGCCAUUUAAUUCUUGAUUUAUGCUUAUAGAAGCUUUCCUCCUGAAGCCGUAGGUCCGAGAAGGUCUUGGUGCACUCUCUCUCCAUGGCCGCAAGAUCUAGAUUGAAAGGAUCCAAAUGGAAUGCUUCUUGAACAACAUUAAGAGCAUCACGAGCUAAGGUAGUUCUUGCGAAUAUAUCUGAGUAUGACUCCUUAUUGAGGCUCUUGAGUUUAGCUUUAACAAGCUUCAAGUUAACAUAACAGUUAAACAUGGCCGUACCACUGAUCGGAGAGUCCCAGGCUUGUUGGACAAUCUGAUUAAAGGUCAAAUAUUGAAUCCAGAAGUUAAAGAACUUGAACGGCUUCUUCGUCUUUGGUGCGGGGAAGAUCUUUAUAACCAUUGGAGAGUGGUUUGAAAUAUCGGCCAGAAGAAAUAAAGCCUCAGAGAAUGAAAAAACACUACUCCAAUAGGGAUUGAUGAGGACCCUAUCAAUUUUCCUCUGUUUGCAAGUUUCACCAGAGGAAGUAGCCCAUGAGUACCUACAGCUAGUAUGUCGAAGAUUGUCCAGCUCAACCCGUUGAAGGCAAUCUCCAAAUUCAUCAUAAGACGGUAACUAGGUGGAAAGGCUACCAAUCCUAUCCAAAGGGAACCUUAUGGCAUUGAAGUCACCUGCAACGAACCAAGGAGUAGUACUUCGAGGGGAGCUGAUCCGAACAAGAUCUUGCCAAAGGGGGCACCGACGCACGAAUGUGUGUUCAACAUAAACAAUAGAGAGAUAAAGGGAAUCACCUAUAGAGAGACAUCUCAAAUGUCCAUGAAUAACUUGGAUGCAUUCAAUUUAUUGACCUUUAUAAACUUCAUUUUUUAUAAAAACUUUUUGGCUAGUUGCAACGUGUUAUAAAGCGUUUGUUAAGUAACUAAGGGUGUGUUUGGUAACGCUUCCGGGGAAUAAUUUUUUUUAUGAUAAAUGGUUUUUUUCUAAUUCUAUUCUCGAGAACAAUUUUUGAGCAAAAGAACGCGUUUAGUAACUUCCCAAAAUUUCUAUUCUCGGGAUAGAAAUACGUUUGGUAGGAUUCUUAGAUUUUUUUUAAUUCUUUUAUUAUAUUUUCUUCUUCUUCUUCUUCUUUUCCUCUUUUCUUUUUCCUUUUCCUCUUUUCUUUUUCCUUUUCCUUUUUCUCGUUGGCUGGUCGCCGGACAUGACAAUGGCCAGGGAUCGACUGGGCAAGGUCUAGUGAGCUUGUCAGAGCCUUGCCAAGCUGAGGUGAGGCCCGGUGAGCCUCAGCCUUGAGUCGGUUGGGGAGGCUGAGCCUCGCCGUGGCUCAGCGUCUCCAUAGGUCGGCAAUGCUCCGCCCAGGUUGUCGGCCCUUGUCUGGCCAGUCGCCUAUGUUGACCAUGGCCAAGGCCAGCGACCGGCUAAAAGGAAGAAGAAGAAGAAGAAGAAGAAGAAAAGAAAGAGAAUAGGAAAAUAGAAGAAGAGAGAAGAGAAAGAAAAAAAAAUAGAUUCUAGAAAUUGUUUCCAAGAACAAGAAGCUACUUUUUUCUACUUCUUGUUUUUGUUCCAAAUCUAUUUCUAAUAACAUAAAUAAAUUUUAUCAAACAGGUAUCUAUUCUUUUUUUAUUCCCCAGAUCAAAAGAAUAGAAAUAAUUGUUCUAGAGAAUAGAAACAAAAUUUACCAAACAAGCCUUAAUGACCAUGAUCAUGGGCAGAAAAUUGGCUUUGCAUCGGCAAGCUCCAUUAUUUGUUUGAGCCCAAUGGAAUUUUGGGCCAAGGAUGGGCAAGAGUGCUUAGGCCCAGGCCCAGUGCAACGAGUCUAUUUACUUGUUUGAAAAUACUGCACCACUCAGAACCUUGGUACAUAUUUAGUUGGUCCGACUAGUCCCCUAUCUUCCCCCAAGAAUUUCUUCGAAGUCAUUUAUAGCAGAAAAUCCAAAAAAAAAAAGUAAAAAAAUCAAGAAAAAAGUAUCUAGAUAUAUAUAAUGUAAUAUUUACUUGUGGUUAUCUCACUAAUUUUGAUACCAUGUUGUAGGUGUCAAAUUUUGUAAUUUAAAGGAUGUUUGGAAUAUGAAAGUAUGAUAUUUAUUUUAUUUUAUUUUUUUAGAACUAGAGAUAGAGUUCAAGGUUCACAUUGUGAUUUAGUUUUAGUUUAUAAGUUGUUCAUAAUCAAGUUGGAAUCGAGUUUAAACUCAAACAGAUAUGAUAUAUCAAACAUGGGAUUGAGAAACCAAGUUUUGUCAUACUCGCAGUUCAAUAUCAAACCAUCAACAUUAAGUUAAACUUUGCACCAACAAACUACUUCAAAUGAAUUUCUCGAUUGUGCCUUAAUAGCAUUUUUUUAUAUAAUGAAAUACGUAAUUUUAGACACUUUUAUUGCAUUGAUCCACUAUAUACAAGAAAUUAGAUAGAAGAUGUUCUAAAUUCCUCAAACAGACGAAAGUCAAAUAUGUAGGUUAACUGCAUUCAUUGAUAUUAAAAUAUGAAAAAAGAUCUAUAGAUAAUAAGAAACAAUAUCAUGUGAAAAAAUAUAGUAAAUCCACCAAACGGAAACAAUUUUAUACCAAAGCUAUUAACUUAAUCGUUGACUCAUACCCUACGUGAUCGAUGAGAAUAGUAACAUAUGUCAAUGUGCUUGACGUCUUAGCUGCCUAAGGUAUCUAGGAGAAAGCAUUAUCUUAUUACCAGAAAAUGAAAAAGGUUAGUUAUAAAUCAAGUAGAUAAAAUCUUUCGACCAAAGAAAAAAAGUAGAUAAAGCCUUCCCUCCUCCUUUUCCGCCCUUUCUAUCUAGCAUAGUUAUGAAAGCUAAUUAAAUUUCAUCUAUGCGCACGGAUAAAUACAUUUUGUGUUUUUAGAUAUAUCACAACUUUGAUGAAAACUGGUUUCGUUCCCAACCCAGAUAAAUGAAUAAAUUUUCAUGUACACUAUUGACUAAAUUAUAGAAGAAAUUAAAACCAAGACUCAAAGUAAGUAUCAACAGUUAAAUGAGCAGCAGAAAUAGACUCUACACUGUACCGAAAUAAAACCUUCAUGACUAAAAGAAUGAAUGCCUGGAAGAUUGAUUGCUUCAAUUCCUAUGUGAAGUGGCUUUCAAUCGAACAAUAAAAAGUAGGGGAGGAUGCGGAAAUACAUCAUCCACCAAUUAAACGAUUAUUUUAGGUGAUUUUGUUGCGCAAAUCCUGCUCAGCCGACCCCUUCCACUGGUAAAUUCAAGUAACAAUCAAUUUCAUCAAGACAUAAGUGACUUGAUUAGCGGAUAGGUGGACCAUGUAAGUAGUGUCCUUGAAAUACCUUCCUCAGCAAUAUUUUUUUGAGCUGUGUAAUGAGUGUCUUGAAUAUUUUAAUGUUGCAAAAAGUGCACUGAAAGUCCUAAAACUUGUUAUAAAAAUGCAAUCGAAUCCUAAAAUUUACAAAAACUGUAAUUGAGUUAUAAAAUGUAUCAACUUGAUGCAAUCAACUCUCUACAUUAACUCUGUCUAAUUUGAUUAUUAGAAAAUGCUGAUGUGGCAUUUUUUGUAUUCAUUUCUCUCUCUUAAUGGCAUAGAGCUUGAAAGGAAAAGCCUCUGCGCAAAAACGGCUUUCAAGAUUUGCCCCAAAUUUCCGAGUCAUAAUUGAGUUUUCUUCACUUCUUCAUCCUGUCUUUUGUCCAGAGUGUCCUUCUUAUUAGUGGAGUCCGUUUCUUAUUUGUCGAUCCUCCUGUUGUCCGAGUGUCCUUGUUCUUCUUCGUUGAGUCCCCAAAUUUCCUCUUUGUUCAACGUGACCACGGUGAGUCCUCGCGCAAGAGCUUGAGGAGGCUGACGACGACGUUGAGUCCUCUUCGUCCGAGCCCAACGGCAUGAACAACAGUGUUAUAAGCCACUACAUCGAGCUUAAUCCCGUUUCUUUUAUUUCUUUCGUUCGGGUGCAUGUGUGUGAACUCAUUAGAGGUGUUUUCACUUGUGGAUUGGAUAGGUCUGUAGUUGGGAGCGAAGUCAAUUUUCUAGACUUGGUGUAAGGAACUGUGACAAAUUUUUCCGACCUGCCUAUGUCUCCUUUCCUUCUUCCUUCAUUAUACUGGUAAGCAGCUGUUGUUGUUCAGUCAUUCCUAUUAACAAAUAAUGAACUCGGUCCCUAGUGACUGGGUACCCUUCUAUUGGUGUCAUGAUCUCUAAUUGCAAUCAUCAUCAUUGUGUUAUAUACCAGCUCCAGUUCAUAUACAUCAUGAGACUACACUUAAGAAACAAAAAAGGAAACCUGUCUUUCAUGGGUUGUUAUAUAUCUCACAUAUAGGAAUUACAUGUUAUAUAUCUCACAUAUAGGAAUUACAUGUCGGAAACUCGUAGUGUUAGGAAAAUUGAGCAGUUAUUGGAUUUUUUUAUACGUGUUGACUGAGUAUUAGAGAGUGUUCGAGAGUGUCCGAGAGGAUCGAACAUAUAUUGAAGUGUUCGAUACAACACGAAACCUCUUGGGGAGUAUAAAUGUUUCUUAGAUGUGGACCACAAUGUCAAUAAUUGGCCAAGACUACUUUAAAAUUUUGCACAAAGAUUUAUGUUGACACUCGAAUUUGUUGAUGUUUUAAGUAUUUGUUCAUUUUACAAAAAUAUAAAAAUCAUAAAAAGCAGGAGAUAGAAAAAAAUUGUCAUAAAAUUCGGAGCCCACAUUUCUUAGCAAAUUUCGGACCUGCCGAGCCCGCGUGGCCAGCCCAUUUAUCUUUUUUCGUUCAUUUCUUUUGGCCCAUGCGUCAAAGUCACUUUCCUUGGCCCAUUUUUCUUUCUUUGUUCAAAUAAGCCCAUCGAACUGAAAAGAAACAAAAAGCCCAGCCCAGCCCAGCCUUUCCUCUAGCCUUGCUUCGGUAAGAACCGGCAUGCUUGGGGAAAAUAAAAGGUGAGACGUGACCGUGACACGGCAGAAAGACGGAAGCGUUGUUCGGCCAUUCGGGGGCUCGCUGGUUUUUGAGGGACGAGAGAGCAAGGAAGGCUCUGCCAAAUAGUGAGAACCAGAGGGAAGGAGGGACAGCCAGGGGAGAGUUCACUUGAGACGUGUGCUCGCUCGACGGAGGAGAGCUCGAUGGAAGCAGCCAAGGAGAAGGGAGAAAUCUGAGAGAACGAGAGAGUGCAUCCCGUAUCGGAGCGACGGAAAACCACAUCGCUGGAGCUCGCCGUCGAUUUUCAGAGCUCCGGUCGAAGGCUAAUCCGCAAGUUGUUCUUCACAGAUUCGGUGUCGAAGAUCAGAAGAAUACUAAGAUUUCUUCUGCAAGCGGAGGAAAAGCUCUUAACCAGACGCUCUUCAUCGUCGUCAAUCGAGACCUCGAUCCGCCAAACAAACCAGGUGCAAUCUCGCUCCAAACGCUCUGCUCUGUCUCUGUUUUGGCCGAGAAAGACUUGCUCGGUUCGAUGGUUUUUCUUGAAGAAAUCUUGAUAAAACGAAUUUUUUUUUAUUGCUAAAAAUGGUGUUUUAAGUCUGUUCGUAACGUGUGAGGCUGAGAACCUCAUCAAAAUCAAAUCAGAAAACCAUUGAAAGAUCUGCAUAUUGCAUGUUUGAUAAAAUGCCUAACAGAGGGCCGAAAGUUCAAUCACGUUUAAACUCAAGAUCGAUUCGUACUUGCUGCGUUAUUUGUUGAAUCAUGUCUAAGACUAGCAUUUUCUAUGUGUUUCUAUGCGAUAUGAUGAAAAAUCUUUUGCUCGAGUCCAACGUGCAUGCAUAUCUCCAAUGCCGGAAAGAUUUCCAUCGGAGAAUUCCAUCGCACCAGCGAAGUCAGCGUAUCAAGGGCAUACUAGUUAGCCCAUCUCACUUCAUUCAUGUAAGUUUGCUUGUUAAUUUUCUGAGGUUGCUUCGGUUAAAAAAGUGGAUUCGGUAGGAUGAUUUUUGUUCAGUUUUCCGAUAGAUGGAGUGGGCGGCCGGAGGUGGUCAACGUCGGUCGGAAUAGACGAUCGGCGGUCGGAGAUAGGUCGGCGGUGAUCUAAGCUCUCGUGAUAAACUCGUCGGUGAUGGUAUUUAUUACGUUAAAAAGGAAUAAAAAUAAAUGACCGCGAAAGAUGGUGUUCGGGUAGAGGAUGUCGAGAGGAGAAGGAAGAAGUGAAGGCAGAACGAGACAAAAACAGGAAAAGACAAAAAAUAAAAAGAAUUUAAAAAAUUCAAAUAAUAUAAAAUAAAAAAUCGGUUGUAAUCCGACGCUGGUCGCAUCCGGGUAUACGGUUCGGGUCAGAAAAUCGGAUCGGAUAAACGGUCCGAACCCGUUCGCUGAAUAAAAUAAAAUAAACAAACUCAUUAAAAAUGCUAAAAAAAUUCAUAAAAGAUAUAAAAAUCCUACAAAUCAAUAAAAAAAAUUAGGAAAUUCGAAGAUAUAAAAGAAUUCCGAAAAUUUAUAAUAAUUAUUGUUAUAAAAAAUCGAAAAAUCAGAAAAUUCGUAAAUAACAAUAAAAAUAAAAAAAAUUCAAAAUAAUUCCAAAAAUAUUUAAAGAUUCAAAAAAAUUAAAAAUUUUGAAUAUAUAUAAAUUUUUAAUCUCGAAGAUAAAUAAAUAUGAAAAAUGUUUAAAUUUUAUUAAUUAAAAAUAUUAAAAAUUCAGAAAAUUCAAGAAAAUCAGAAAAAAAAAUUCAGAAAAAAUUGGAAAAUUCUUUAAAUAUUAAAUUCUAAAAUUGGACAAGCCUUUAGGGCUUUACAAUAGGGUCCCUUAUUUUGAAGUUCCCAACAAAUUUUAAAUUUUAAAUGUACUUAUCCCUUGAAUAUUUUAUUUUUCACUGUAAAUAUCGCAAAUCAUAAAAUUCUAAUGAUUGGUGUAAUAGAGAUAUUUAAGUUUUUAUUUUAUGAUUUUCUAUAUUUAUUUUGGUUAUGUAUAUCUAAUUAGAUUUUUUUUAUCUCCUUAAUUAUUCAACUACUCUUUUCUUUGUGACUUUUUCUCUCUUCAUCACUCACAUCGUUCACUGUAAGCUCAAGCUGAAGCGCUCUCUCUCCGUUUGUCUUCACUUUUACCAAUGCUUGUGCCUAGUGAGUGACUCGCUGACUGUGGUUCGUCUCUGUCCAUCGGUGGUGUCAUUUACUGUGGUUUUUUCUAUGUUCUUUUCUUCUUUUCGGUUUGGCUUUUUUGAUAACUUCGAAUUGGAGUAAUGCAGGUUCAUGACUUGUGAAUCGACUCGAUAUCCCUAAAAUGUAUUUGCUGAUUGUCGAUUGUGAUGUGAACCCGUUUGUUCUGAUUUGCUUUCCAUUGAUUCUUGCAUAUUUUUUCCUGUCUUGGUUUGCAAGUUUUUAACCUCUGUUAUUUUCCUGAUAGAUUCCAGUUUCCUACUUGAAUUAUGGGGUUUUACCCUGCUUUUUCUUCUUUCCAAUUCGUGUAGUUUACGUGAUUUGAGUUCCAAUUGCCGUUCAUACUAUGCCUCAUUCACAUUGUUUAAUGUCCUAAGCAUUCAUUCCGAGUGAGGUUUUGAACUUUUAAGAGCUCUUUCUUUAGGAUUUCGUGUUGGGUUUCGCUUGGAGGAGUUUAAGUCUGUUUAUUCAUGGCUUUGCCUCUCUUAUUGUGGCCAUUUUCUGUAACAUUUGAAAUCUUAUCAGAUAUUCUUGAGACCAUUCGCCUGCAGCAAAUGAAGAUAAUAGAUGAGCAUUUUGAUAGAGUUGCGAUCUCUUACUAAGAAUUGCUAAUACUUACUAUCUUGGUGAUUUAUAUCCAUGGGAAACACAAGAUGCAUGGUCAUUUGUGUGGGUUCACACGCAGUGCAGAUAAGCUGUGAAUUAGAAGAGAAGGUUGCAAAAUUACACAAUGGCAAUGAGCUAAAUUCCAAUUCAGAGACCGAAACUGAGCAGCCUCAAGAAGAGACUACAAAUGUGAAUGCAUUAGGUAAGACCUACCUACAUAUAUAGCGUGUAUUUUUCAUUAUACUAUACUAAAAUGGUCCGAGUAUUGAUCUGGUUUGAUAAUAUUAGAUCCAUCUUUCGAUAUUUAGAUUUUCUUGUCUAGUAGCAGCUGCCACCAGAAAAAGGAAGCGCAGCUUUACAUGUCUAUCGAGUGUAUACAGUCUUUCUCCUGGGAAAUGCAUCAUUGUCAGGCUAGGGAACAAAAUGCAACCUAUUGGAGGUUUGGGAAGUUUCUUGUAACCAUCGCUUGCGAGUUAACAUCAUUGUUUACAACUUGAAAGCAAAUUACCAAGGAUAUGAGAAACACUAUGAUUACGAUUGUAGAGGUAGUUAGCUUGUUCUGGCAUGAAAUUCCAUUUUACAAUCAUUAUUAAUAUUUCCUUGCUAUCUAAGCAUGAUUAUCUUCGUACCAGUUGUAGAAAAAUGGAUUCCACAAUCCUAAAUGUAGAUAUUGUAAAAGUGAUUUAAAAGCUGCUCACUAUGGUAGCUCUCAAUCAUUCUCAUAUCAUUUGAAGAAUCUGUUGGAGAGAGUGAGAAGAGAUCAAUGCACAAAUCUUGUCACUUUUUGGAGUUCAAAGGAAAGGAACAAGGAAGGUACGAAUCUUGUUCUAGAAUUGUUUUAAUUGACCUAUCAACAUUAAAUGGACUUUCAUUACCUGUUGAUGACUACUUUGUGAUAACCUUUCUAUUUUUCAUCUGUUUUAUUGCACAAGCUGACUGACGCGGGUAAGGCUAACAGAGCAAAACAAAAGAUACAACGCACCUUAGAGAACAAAAGUUCGGCUAGAAUAACAGCAGAAAAGGUGCUCUCAUCUUUACUUAAAUUUUUGUGAUCCCUGAUAAGUGAUAUUUCCAUUGUGUAAAUCAAUAAUCUCACUUUAGAAAAGAUUCUGCUGAAGUGAUAUAUUUUUGGACCUAAGGUAAAGAUGUCUAGAGAUAUUUGUGACUUUUCCAACAAUACAUGUGUUUUGAAAUAGCAGCUGUCAUAGGAAGAAAACAUAGAAUGUGUUCUAGAAUUGCCUCCUUAAGAUUGUCUAUGUUCUCAGCACCUGCAUUGAUAACUUGUUAUCCCCAUAGCUCUCUGAUUUGGGUCUGCUAGUGACAGCACAAUAAUCGAUAACUUGGUUCAGGUUUAUCUAGCACACAUAGUCCACCAUCAUUAACAAAAGAGCUGUAAACCAACUAGAGUUGUAAAGUAAAUUUUAGAUGAUGAAACCUGUACAAUUUUCUAUUAAUUUGCUAACCUGACUGCAGCUUGGUUUAACGAGAGAGAUUGAAAAACAGAAAAGUACUGCAGCCCUGGAGUACCCAAGUACUAGCUGUGCCAUCGCACACAUCCCAACAAUUGUUGAAAAGUUAUUCAAUAUAGUUCAUCUAGUGUCAACAAAUGUUAUACAGUCUUGGCAAUGACAAUAUUGUUGUUACAAUGUAUUAGGAAUUUAUACAGCUAUCUGUGCAGAACAUGAAUGGAUCAAGAAAAGAGGGCAAGCUGGAAUAAAUAGUCUGAAAUUAAAACCUAAAGUCUAACUUCCUAGUGUGUGUUUUCAUAUGGUUUUGGUGGAUGAAGUCACAUAACAAAUAAGCAAGGAACAACUAUAGUUAGGAAGAAUGUGAUUACUUUCUCAAUUUGAUGUCUCUGGACAUCUUUUCCUGUUUCACAGAAAAGUGUGAAAUAUUGAAUGUCUUCUUGAUAUGGUUCAUUCCGUUAAGCUGACUAAACCAAGUUCUGGCACAUGAUAGGAAGCAGAGUCAAGAAUCAAAGGCAAUCAUACGUACUUAUGACUUCAGCUUAAAGCUGCUCGCCAGUAAAUAGUAGCAUCAUUAGUUUAUAAGUUUUUUAUGUUACUAAACUGCAUGGGCAUAUGAAUGAUCUUAUGGAGGUAUAUUUGGAACUUGGAAAGAACAACACCCCCUCAAAAUAGUGUUUUUCUAGUGUUGGGAAAAGAGAAACCUGGAUGGUAUGAUGUUAGAGCGUAAUCCAUGCCUGAAUGAUUUAGGGCCUCCAAAUCUAGUUGUCUUCCAACCAAGAACUUAGGGUCAAAGAAAGCAAAGAAUGAAGAGAUUCACAAGUUGAAGGAAUCUAGUUGUCUUCCAACCAAGAACAUAAGGUUGGAGAAUGAGAAAGAUGAAGAGAUUCAUAAGGUGAAGGAGAUACUGAAAGCAACAAAAGAGAAAUUACAGAAGACAGAUGGAGAUGUACAAGAGUUAUAGGCUCAAAAAGCUGCUACUAUCAUAUAGAAUUGUCUGCAUGCGGUGGACUUGAAGUGGUCUCACAAGAUCUAGACAAGGUAAGUAUGUCAUGAGCCAUGAGGUGUGACUAAUUUCAUUGAACGUUAAAAUAGUGAAAGGUGUUUUAUUUACUAAAUACUGAGUGACCUGGAUAUUGGACAGUAAGGUGGUUUUAAAGGGAAUAUAUGUGGAUAGACUUGAAACAUGAGUAUGGUAUCAGGAUCACUUUGAUGGAGCUUGGAAGUGGAAUACAAAUUUAGUAUUGUUACUAUGUUGUUUCCCUUUCUGCGGUGACUAAAUCAUGUUUUGGGUUUACUUCUCUUGCAUUAUGCCUGAUCCUUUUUGUUCAUUUUGAAGUAUACAAGUGAUUGCCCUUAUUAGUCACUGCUGGGUGUUGCUCUUUCUUUCCAUGUUUCCAGAUAGUGACUGUUGAGCUCUCUUGUCCUUCUCUGUAUAGAUCUUGGAGUGUUAUAGCAUCUUUUAUAUUGAAGAGAAGUUGAAAUGUUGCCUGUUUUAGCACUUGAGAGUGGAUGAGGGACACAGUCAAAUGCUUGGAAAUGGUCUCUAUUGACGUAUGGGUUUAUUAGAUUGCCUAAUACCAUAUGCUGAUAACCUUACACUACUCUAUUUUUGGCCCCCAAUGCAUUUCUUCUUCUUCUUGCUCUUAAGGUUAGGCUUCUAUUUUCAUAACCGAACUUCUCAAGUUUACUGGGUUGCAGCAAUGAUUGUGAUUUGUGAACUCUGCCUCUCGGUUUACAGCCAUUCAAUAAUGGUUGUGGUGUUUAUAAGAUGCUUUGGCCACUCACAACUCUGUUUUUUGCAAUGAAGUAAAUGGAGCUCCUCUGUUCACGUCUGCAUUUUUUUCAAGUGACGGGAAAUGUGGCCGAUCAGGUCUUGCUCAUUAUGUUUUAACAAAUAAGCUUCUCUACGUUUUGAUAUGCUUUACAAAUUAGUUAUGAGCUCCUCUGUUCAUUUAUUUUAUUACUUUCUGUGAUCCAAGCUUCCUCUAAAUCCUUCUCCAAUCCAAAUUAUUGAAGGUUAAUUGUGUGAUGUUCAAGUAGUGACCACUAACAUGAUUUAUUGUGCUGGUUUCGCACCCAUUAUGCUUGAUCCUCUUUCCUGCACUUAUUUGCUUUGUAGGAUGAUGACGAUCAUAACACACAAUAGAGAUCUCCAAACAUCAGUUUACACUCUCCAUCAUCGAGUCAUGAGCCACACUCUUAAGGAAUGAGGUUAGUUUUAUCUCCAAAGGUACAGUGGUCAUUGUAGAGCCCACAUUCGAACUAUUUGUUUUUGUUAUAAAUGUCUUAGGUCCAGCAAGAAAAGAACAAAACAGCUUCUUGUGCCCGUUGUUGGAGAAAGCUCAUUAAAGAAAUAGUAUAGUUCCCGCAUCUUCAAGAUGUGACGAGUCUAGAAAAGAUUUUAUAGCAAUGACAAGACCUCUUUCAUGUGCAGUUGAACCUUAUGUCCGAGCUACAGCUAAAAUUGCUUUAGAAUGCAAAAAAGGAAAACACAUCAACAUACUGUUUUUGUUGCAGUCAUUCUCUCUCGGACAUAGGGUGUCUCUCUCUCCCUCUCUGGACCUACCUUGUUUAAUUAUUCCUUUCUUGCAUUGGAACUGUACAAAGAUCAAUCUAGAGAGUUAUUUAUGGAUGCUGGUGAAAAAUUGACUAUUGUCCUUCAGUACAUCUAGACAAAUUUUUUGGAUUGCGCAGAAAAGGCGAAAGUCCAUUCAUGAGAAGUAUUCACCUUUUCGUUGUGAUUUGUGUGACGUGAUCAAAUGGAUGAUUCAGGAGUUUCAUAGCUGUUGUGUGACGGCUAAGCACGUUGAGCGUCGUAACUCCUGAGCACGUCAACUUCUUUUGAUUUUGAAUUUGUUGUUUUUUGAAUCUUAUGACUUUGAUAAGUUAAUAGAUUUAGCUUUGAGAAGAUUUUGGAAUCAAGUACCCAAUGGCGACAAGGAUUUCACAUUAUUCAUCCGUUGAUGUUUUUUGGGUGGAUAUGUGAUGCAUUGUCCCGAAAGAUGUUGAGGACAUGAGGCGAUUCUCUUGUUCCAUUUCCGAUGACUAGCAAAUCAAACAUCUUGGGAAUCAUCUAUAGCGUAAGAGCCAAAAAUAAAGACAAAAGUAAAUAGGGUGCGCUAAGCAAACGCAAUAGAGCUGAAAGAGUUUUUCUUAUACAUUUAUUGGUCAGCCUUUAUAAUUUGAUAUUUGCUAGCGGUUAUUUUACUAAUUUCAAUGACAUGUUGUAGGUGUCAAAUUUUGUAAUACUACACUUAUUUGACUUGCACACUGUGUUAAUAAUUUAAAAAGAGUUUAGGAAAAUGAAAGCAUGAUAUUACCUUUUUGAUUUUUUUUUUUAUGAGAACUAGAGAUGGAGUUCAAGCUUCAAAAUGUGAUUUAGUUUCUAAGUUAUCAAUAAUUGAGUUGAAUCGAGUUUAAUCUCGAAUGCAUAUGCUAUAUAGAGUUGAGCUUGAGCAUGGGAUUGAGAAAUAGGGUUUUGGCGUACCAAUAGUACAAUAUCAAAACAUCAAUUUCAACUUAAACUUCGGAUCAACAAAUUGCUUCAAAUGAAUUUAUAUAGCUUGAUUGCGCCUUAAUAGCUUCUUUUUUCAAAUGAAGUACCUUAUCUUAGACACAUUUAGUGCAUUGACCCACCAAAUAAUAUGCUACUUCAUUCCUCGCAUGCCAACAAGAAUAACGCUAGUGGUCUUCAAAACUUCACCAAGCCUCUCAAACAUGUACAAGUCCCAUGAGAGCUUGAUUCCUGAAAAAUAUAAUCACUAUUAAUCUUUCGAGAAAAUUUCAGAAUAAAAAUAAGAUAAUCAAACUAUGCAGUCAAAUCUUUGCUCAAAAAAAAAAAAAACUAUGCAAUCAAAUCAACCAGUAAUACAAAUCAACUUAUUUUUACUGUGUUUAAUCUAUUUGUCAAUGGUAUUAUUUACAAAAAAUAGAUAGAAGAUUUAAUUGCAUUCAUUAAGAUUGAAUUACUCAAAAGGAUACAUAUGAAAGUCAAAUAUAUAGAUUACUUGCAUUCAUUGAGAUUGAAAUAUGAGAAAUGAUCUACAUAUAAUAGAAAACAUAAUCAUGUGAAAAUAUACAUGAAUCGGGUGAGGUUUACUGUGAUUAAAUGAACGGGAUUAUAUGUGCAGAUUCAAUAUAUCACAUAAGUUUAUUUCUUGCACCACCAAAUGCAAACAAUUUUAUACUAAGCCAUUCACCAAAUCUUUGGCUCGUACCCUACUUGGUCCAUGAGACUAGUAACGUAUGAUAUGGGUAUGGUGCCUUAUCUGCUCAAGAUAAGUUUCUUGGAAAGAGAAACAAUAUAUUAUUAACAGAAAAUGAGCAGGUUAGUAGUAAUAAAUCAAGUAGAUAUAGCCCCCUCCUCCUUCACCCCUUUCUAUCUAGUGCACUUAUGGAAGUAGGUUAAUGAAAUUUCAUCUAUGUGAAUUCGCACACAUAAAUACACUUUCUUGUUUUUUUCACAACUUUUAUGAAAACUGGUUUUGUUCUCAAUCUAGCUAAAUUAAGAAUUUUUUAUGUGCACAAUCGACUAAAUUAUAGUAGAAGAUAAAGCUAAGACUCAACCUAGGCAUCAAAAGUUAAAUGAGUGGCAGAAAUAGACACUAUACUCUACCCGACAUGAAUACUUCAUGACUAAAAGAAUGAAUUCCUAGAAGAUCGACUACUUUAACUCCUAUUUGAAGUGGCUUUCAAUCGAAUGUAAAAAAUAGGGGAGGAUACAGAAAUACAUCAUCCACCAAUUAAUAAAGUAUUUUAGGUCUGAAGUUUGGGAGUGAAGUCAAUGUUUGAGACUUAGUGUAAGGAGAUGUGACAAGUUUUUCCGACCUGCCUAUAUCUCCUUUCCUUCUUCGUUCAUUCUACCAGUAAGCGGCUGCUGUUCUUCGGUCAUUCCUGGUGAGCAUCCGGUGCUGUGGGUAUCCUUCUAUUGGCGUCAUGAUCUCUAAUUGCAAUCAUCAUCAUCGUGUUAUCCACUUUUUUUUUUUUUUUAAGCUCCAGUUCUGAUUUGCUUUAUAUAUCAUGAGACUACACUAACGACACAAAAAAGAAAACCUGUCUUUCACGGGCAGUUACAUAUCUCGCUCUGCAGCUCCUUGGCGAGGCUUGCAUGUCUGUGUUCCUCUUAUGUUCUUGUCUUUUGGUAGUCACUGAUGUAGCAUUUGGCGAGCUCUUCUAAUAGAUUCUCUCUCUUUCACUCGUGCAUAAUGGCGGCCCACUAAGGAAUAGAAGUCCAAGAAUGUAAACAGAAUAAGAAACAGAAUUCAAAUUGUUCGCAGGAUGUGAAGGUUCUGCGAUGAAUAAUCUCUUCGUAGCAUUAUAAUAGUCCUUACCUUGCAUGACUUGGGUUGUAACGUGGCCAACACCUUGCGCUUAAAUGUCAACAAUUUCUUCGAUGCUCUUGUGAUCAGGCUAUACAUGGUAAUGUAUGUGAAUUCAUUAUUCUUCUUGCAACAACAAAGUCCACUUCUUUUUGUACAGACGCUUUUCUUUUUGCUUUGCAUUGUCUAUGUUAUAAUGAAGAAGCUCCUAACAGAAUCCUGAUAUAACCGCGAUAGUUAACAUAUGUUUCUUCUGUUGCAUUCAUCUGUUGCUUCUGUUGCAUUUAGUAGAGCCUUCAGUUGCCAAAUCGAAGAAUAGCGGCCAGAAGAUUGAGGGUGCUGAUAUCUAAAUCAAGUGGUAUAACUCCUGAUGAUGUUGACUCAGAGCUUAACUGCUACUGUGUUCUUUGAUCACCAAUUCUCAUCGCAAAAACAAGUAGGAAUUGGUUUUAUGGUUGUAAUAAGUUGUGGAUUGAUCUGAAUGCACUAGAUCAAGCUAAGGACAUGAUAAUCAACAUCCUUGAAAUGAAUCAAGCAUUGUGCGAAUCCAGCCAAUCGAGACACGAGGAGGUUAGCGUGAGCUAAUUUCUACUGAAAUCAAGGCUCAAAGGGCCAAAUAUAGACCUUACAAGGAGCAGUUGCAUGAGUAAAGAAAAAAAAUAUGAUAAUAUCACGGUCAUUUGUUCUAUGAAGGUGUUGUGUCACUGUGCUGGUUGUGUCUAACGCGAGAGUUGGUGGGAAGUUUCUAAGCCUUCCAUAGUUUAUUUAGGUGUGAGUGUGUACAUUUGUGUCAGGUUGAACUACUGGAAGUCCUGCUUCCCUCAUCUUCAGUACGCUUGUUCCGGCUUCGUGCUUCGGAGUUGCUUUACUACUGAAAACUAGAUAUUCUAAUGGAAAGCUGUUGGCUGUUUGGCAAUAUGACAGAAAGCUUUCGUUGUUCUUACCAUUCUUAUUAAAGAACUUCUGAUACCUUUUCAUUCUGUUACGAAAAAUCUAGUGAACUUAACAGCUUUGGCCUCUUGUAUAGUCUAAUAUAUCACCAGAUGUAAUGGCACAGGCUAAUCUGGGAAACAUUCCAACAUAAACAGUGAUUUAAAAUUUCACCCUGAAUGAUCAGAGCAGGACGAAUGAAAUGAAGUCUCAUUGUUUUCUUUUCCUCAACCCGACGGUUUAUCAGAGGUCUAAAUACUUGUGUACUUCCACACUAAAGACACUUAAAUACGUGAUUUUCAACAACACUUCCAUAUCUCUGCAUAUGUGCAGACCUGUGGGGAAUACUCGUUCUUGUGCUGAAUAUGUUAGUUUUUUUCGACUCCUAUUGAAAUCAUCGAACAGGUGCAUAUGUACAGCUUGGGACUCCUCUUUGCUUUUGUUGGGUCCCUUGGCUCGGAUUCGUGGUCAUCGGUUCCACAGGACUUUUGGGCGUGUUAGACACAGGCCCUCAUCCACAUUAGAAAGCAAUUUCCAUAAUGCUAUGCCAUUUUGUAGGUCUAACUCAAUGUAUCAAGUCACAUAUGCAAGCCACCUCUAGGCUAAAACAUAUGCAAGCCACCUUUAGGCUUUUUAGGUAGGUCCACGAUAUAUUUUGCCAGCCUCGUCGAUCAGAAUGCUGAAGUCUUGGGUGAUUGAUUUGGAUAUAAAAACAUUCCUACUUGAAUGUCAAGUCUUCUAGAAGUCCAUUAUAUGUAGAGCAUCCCAUGAAUCAAAUAAGAUGCGAAUUCAAAAUCUCAAAAAUUCAUUCAAGCAUGAAUUUUUUCACACCGGAUGAUACAAAGGACUGAAUGCAACCAAAAACGAUAUGACUAUUUCAAGCUCAGCAGUCUCAAGCAUUCUAAUUAUAAAUUAGAUGUACAAAAACCACUAAAAAUUUGCGAGUAACCCUUUUUUCUCAGAACCAAUUUCUCUCAACACAGACAUGAAUUCUGUCCAAUACAAAAAAGCCACACCAACUGCCAAUGUAAUAACCAAAAGCAAAUCAUAAUGAAAGAACUAGAUGUACCUGGACACGAGCAGCGGCGUCCUGACGAGACGCGAUGUCGUGCCUCAUCUGCUUCACCACCGCCUGUCUCUUGUUCCUCGGCAGCUUUAUACUCGCCACCGUCAUCUUUGCUGCCCUUUCUCUGUUCAUUCCCAAAACAAAGUAACAAAAAACUCUCCAUGAAUAUAACUACAAAAAGCCCUCACCUCUUAUUUGCUAUUACCAGAACAUAGAAAAGAAAAAGCCCCCAAGUAAACCAAUUUCAUGUGGGGAUUUUAUGUUGCGGAUCUUGUGAAUAGUGGCCAAGCCUUUGGUCUCUUCCUUGAUCCGACCCAGGUGGGAGAGGAUGCAGUCGCAGACCUCCAUCUUCUUCCUCUCGAUCUCCUCCUCCUUGGCCCUGAAAGUGGACAGAGCAGCCCUC
rnacentral:lncRNA from 1 species